rnacentral:misc_RNA from 1 species
AUAUUAAAGGAAAGGGAAAUCAAGUCCUUUACCCGCCAUUACUUCGCUCGUAUCUCUACAUACGCACCUCUGCACUCCGUUGCUGUGGCAGUACCUACCCACGCGGCACCGCGGAGUACGGCAGAAAGCACAAAGAGCGUCGUCAUCUAACUUGCGCCGAGGCCCGUUCCAAUCUCUGUCCCCUAUAUUCCAUAAUUGGCUCGCCAGCAGAGCAAUCCCAGGAAUCCUCGCGUUCGCCGAGCUCUCUCCCCCCUCUCCCUCGCUUUCUUCUCUCUUCUUUUGCGCCUUUAUUCUCGCCUUCAUACACUCGUGUAGCUGAUAUAAAGCGAGAAGAGGCGCUUUGUGGAUCACGAUGCCAGAGACAUCUUCCGAGGUGGCACCCGCCAUCAAGUCCAUCUUUCAAGGACGCUUUUUCCUCACGAAGCUGCUCGGCAAGGGUGGAUUCGGCGAAGUCUACGCGGCCGUUCAGACGUCCAACAACGAGAUGGUGGCAGUGAAGAUGGAAAAGAAUAACGGCCGCAACUCGUUUCUCUUCCACGAGGCGCGCGUGAUGCAGGAUAUUCAGAAGACCCCCACGAAGGAUGGCAUUUCCGGCAUUGCGACACUGAAGUACUUUGGACAGGAGGGCGACUACCGCAUGCUGAUCAUGUCCAUGCACGGCGCAUCGCUCGAGGACUUCCACGAGAGGUUGGGCCGCUUUUCUCUUAAGACAACUGUCAUGCUGGCGGGCCAGAUCCUGUCGCGUCUCGAGUACAUCCACUCUGUGGGCUACGUGCACCGUGACCUGAAGACAGACAACUUCCUUGUGGGCAAAGGCUCAUUCUCGAAUCGCAUCUUCAUGAUUGACUUUGGUCUAAGCUCCAAAUUCAUCGGCUCCGAUGGCAAGCACCGUGACAUGUUCACUGGUCGGUACUUCCUGGGUACCUCGCGCUUCGCUUCGCUGCGGACGCAUCAGGGAUACUCGCAGAGCCGCCGUGACGACCUGGAGCAGCUAGUGUACAUCAUGAUUUACAUGUAUCGUGGUCGCCUGCCGUGGUCGGGCCUCAACAUCAAGGACCUGUCGGCCAAGGAGCGCAAGAUCGGUCAGAUCAAGGCUGAUUUGAGCUAUAGCCAGAUUUGCGCCAAGUGCCCUCAGGUUUUUGAGCACCUUCUCUUCUACUCCCGAAACAUGGAGUUUGCGGAGACCCCGCAGUACGACAUGUGCCACGCCCUUCUCCAGUCCGUUUUAGACUCCAUGAGCCCCCGCGAAACGAUGGACUACGUCUUUGAUUGGAACGUGCCAGCUAGCAAGCCGGCUCGUCAGUCGCUUUCGCCGCGCGACGAGAUCGCUCCUGCAAACGCCAACGCUGCAAACCAGCCAAAUAUGCUCAGUGGUGCGGAUGGCAAGGGUAUGUUCUCUGGCUUUGGCAGCAGCAACCCGCCGGAGAACAUCUUCAGCAUUGGUGGCCAUGGCGCAUAAUAUUGCCGCCACCGACCACAUGUAAACACAGGUAUGUGGUGACGUCCGUCGUUGCCUUUGUCUCUUAUCUCCCCGCCUGUCUCGUUUCUUGGCUCUCCUUUCGAUACCCCCCUCCCGCGCGCACGCACAAAUCUUUUCCACUCCCUACUCUCUCUCUGUCCCCCUUUUUGGGUGCGAUGUCGUUCUGCUUUCUUUCUCAUUUGGUACAUUUCAAAGUUAAAAAACGUAAAAAAAAGGCUGGCGCCAGCCCAUUUAUGUGUGUGUGCGUGCUUUCUUCGUGACUAUCCUUCCUUCCUAUGUGUGCUACUUUUCCUUUCCUUUCCCUCUUUUUCCUUUUGUUCCUCGCACACCCGCUUUUGUAUUGCCUUCGUGUGUUUGUCUUCUCCCCCGCCCCUCAACCUCCGUCGUUUGCCCUCCUGGUCGUUACUUUGCUAUUUGUACGUGUGUGCUUUCAUCGUCUUCAUUAUACCCAACAAUAAAAGACCCUCCUCCCUGACUUUCUUCGCUCUGUUGUCGCGCGUUACUGAGUCUCGUUUUUGUGGUUUACCUGUCCUGUGGCCCCUAUCAUACAAUUGUAUUUUCACCAGGCCGCGCAUUCACCUGUAACCCUUAUCACAGUGCACCACUUACGACGUGGGCCUUAGCUGCUGCGCCAUUCGACACGCCCAUGUGUGUGUCUGCUGAGCGUAGCGGUUGGUCGUAGUAUAGACAUAUCCAAGAUAAUACUGCCUCCAUCUCUGUGGUCUUUUUCGUUUUGAUUGAUGUGGCGUAGUUCACACCACGGCCCACCCGCCUUGAAUGAAAAUGAUCCCUUUUUUCUUUGGAAACCUAUGCCCCAGCUCCUCCCUUUGUUUACCUAUUCAUCGUCGCACAUGCAUAUAUAAGUGCGAAUGUACAGGCCUUCCCCCUGUUUUUCUUGUCUCUCAUUUCGUUCAUACUCUUGCACCUCUCAAUGUGACAGAGCCGCGCAGAUCUGCCCUUCUCCAAGCCUCUAUAAUCUUACGAAACGAAUCGAGAUCUUUUUUUGUCACGGACUGCCUUCGGCUGACAUACCCUACCCCUACCUGUCCCUCCAUCUUUCCACCGCCCAGAGAAGAGAGAGCGAUUCGCCUUGUGUGGUUGACACUUUUUCUUCUCUUUUGCUGUGGCCAUGACCGAUGAGGAAGGACUUCUUCUCCCCCUCCCCCAUGUUGUUGUGCAUUGUGUGUGUGCGUGUGAACACGUUUUUCUUCAGCCUGUUUUUUGGUGCGUGUGUGUGUCUCCCUCUUCCGUCUCUUGAUGUGUGCCCGUGUUUUACUUCUUUACACCAGUUGCUGUACUAACGUGACUGGUCAUGUCGUCGUCGUUUCUCCCUCGUCUCCUUUCUCUGUUUGUCCGCUUUGUUAGUUGUCUCUUUCGUGGGCCUCUCCCUCGCCUUCUGCACCCUUUGAGCGCCAGAAACGGAUGUGUGCUCAUUUUCUUCGCGCUGGGGUUCUUUACGUUGCAGCGACCUUCCAAGAGGGGGGGGACAGAAUACUUGUCAGGUGUCACAGAACUCAAGCUUUUGGCGGAAGAAG